CCCUUAGAUGUCCGGGGCCGCACGCGCGCUACACUGAAGGAAUCAGCGUGGCUUUCUCCCUGACCCGAAAGGGUUGGGAAACCCGUUGAAUCUCCUUCGUGAUAGGGAUUGGGGCUUGAAAUUGUUCCCCAUGAACGAGGAAUUCCCAGUAAGCGCGAGUCAUAAGCUCGCGUUGAUUACGUCCCUGCCCUUUGUACACACCGCCCGUCGCUACUACCGAUUGAGUGAUCCGGUGAGGCUCUGGGACCUGGACGGAAAGAGCGUUUCGCUUGUUCUGUUUGGGAAACUUGGUCGAACCUUAUCAUUUAGAGGAAGGAGAAGUCGUAACA
rnacentral:rRNA from 1 species